UAGCGCAUGCGCAACGGCCUUCGAGGCGGGGCUUUCCGUUCAGGAGGCCAGAAGGCUGUCGGGAGGAGGGAGCGUCACCGAGGCGGAGGAAACUGGAGAGUUUGAUGACAAAGGUGAAGAGGAAAGGUGAUGGUUAUAUCGGUUGAGGUCAUAAAUCAUGAAUUAACGUUACAAUAGUUCUAGAGCCGGUUAAUUUGGAAGCUUUUCAAACAGCCUCCCACAUGACAGCUAUAGCCAAGAAAAAUGUCUAACCACAAAGAACAAGUAAGCUACGAAAAGAUUGCCUUGCUGGAAGGAUAACAUUUAACUACAGCAGAAAGAUUCUGUAAUAGGAAAUAAAAGAUUUAUGCCAUAAUCUCUCACUCCAGGCAAAGGAAAAAGAAAUGGCCUUGUUCAGUGAACAUUGCUAACAAGAUUUUUGCUGGCUUGUUGAAAAUUACUGAAAAUGUUCCUCACUGCAGCCCUGCAAAAGCUGCUCAACCAUGUGGAGCCUGAUUACCGAAAACAAAAAGAAAGCCACUGGAUAGAUAUCUGCAGAUGCACUAAGGGUAGAGAAGCAUCUCUGGUGUCACUUCAUCUCUCGGAGUAGUUCAGUAAACGAUGGCACUCUGCAAGAUCCAUGUGCACAGAGUCCACAAGGCAAAAUUUGGUCCAACAUCCCAUUGCCUUUUUAUUCCAAGGAAUAAUGAGAGCACCAACCAAACUGUGUGUCAGAGCUUCAUGAAAAACCUCAAGUUUCCUCAGAAACCACAAUAACUUCAUCAGGCUGUCCUUGCUUCCUGAAUAUUUGUUCUGCAACUUUUCAAAGUUACAAAAGUGCUGAGAAAAUAACUAUUGCCAAUUUAUGAAGUUCUCUCAGAGGAGGGAGAUUGGAGAGAAAAGGAUUGCAAGAGAGUAAGUUAUUUGUUCUUCUACACACUAAAACAAUAUAAUGGCGCUAGGAGCCUGGGACUCGGAGCUGCAGAACUGCACUUGCCCUCUGAAUAGAUGUAGAAAAGAAAGUAGAACCAGAACAGAAACUGAACUGAUAAUUUCCCCUUUCAACUCAAUAGUAAAUAAAAGAGGAGCUCCAAAGGCCACAUCCAAAAUUUAGAUGUUGUAGCCAAUGGAACUGAACUGUAGCUAUAUAGUAUUACAAUAAAAGCAUUCAUUCUUCUCCCAUACUAUACAUG